rnacentral:tRNA from 1 species
AGGCGCGUAGCUCAGUGGUAGAGCACUACAUUGACACUGUAGGGGUCGACAGUUCAAUUCUGUCCGUGCCUACCA